rnacentral:tRNA from 3 species
GGCCCCGUAGCUCAGCGGAUAGAGCAUUUGGCUUCGAACCAAACGGCCGGGCGUUCGAAUCGCUCCGGGGUCACCA